rnacentral:lncRNA from 1 species
AAAUGAGGAUGAGAAGAGGUGGCCAUCGAGGUGAGGUGAGUCGCAGAUGUUGACGCCAACGACAAAUAAUAGGUGAAAGUUGAGCUAAGAUGGAACAGAGAAGUGUAAGAUAGUGAACAUGGAGGUGGUUGAGAGGACGUGCUUGAGCUGGAGAGCAAAGGAGAGAGAGGCCGAGCAGUAUGUGUUGUUGUUGCUGUCUGUUGUGAAUAAAGAUUCUAAUAUGGCAUACAAAGUCGUGAGCUGGGAGAGUAGGGUCUGAGCAUCUCACUAAGAGAGUCACAAAUUAAAGGAGUUAGCAUGGAGAGUAUAUUAUGUUUUGUACUAUUUAAGAAGCACUAGCUAUAUUAUCACUCACACGUGUUUCAACCUACCAGCAAUAUAUACAUGUCAUGCAUAUGAUCAACUUGAUUAUAUUCAUCACCAUAACACCAAAUUUCAAUAAGCUAUCUCUCGCGUAAUUCCUCUUUUUAUGACAUUCACUUUCAACUAAAAUCAUU